rfam:Allokutzneria albata strain DSM 44149 genome assembly, chromosome: I
UGGCUCGGGUGCCGUGAGGCCUCGGUCCGCUCGAACCCUCGGUCCUGGUGCACCUUCCCCGGUACCAGGCCCGACGAGCGGGCGGGGACCUGGCGACACCCGACGCGCGGU